UAAUCAUAAUAAUAAAUCAUUUUUUUGAAAAUCAAAAUGGCAGGCUAGAACAAUAGCUGAUAAUUGAGCGGUACAACAAGUAAAGUGCCAAAUUCAGGCCGAUUUUAUGAACCAAUUGGAAUUGGUUGUGGAUUUUCUCAAAAGUGGAGGAUCGGGUACUAGUAAUAAUGAAAAUACUGCCCGAAGAGCUUUUGCUAACUAUAAAUCCACUGCUGAGAUAUUGAAAGUUGAUGAAACUCAUAUAUCAUUUUUAUAUUAUUUUAGUCACUUUGCCAUUGGGAUAUGAAAUAGAUACUAUGAAGUUUAAGGCUUUUUGCAUAACCAUUCUAAAGCUAUAUAUAUCAAAUUAUUCAUGGUACUAUAUGUCAUAAUCUGUCCACAAAGUUUUUGGUUCAUAGUCAUGCCAUAACUGCAAGACAAUUUCUACCAAUUGGAAUAAUUUCAGAAGAUCCCCUAGAGGCGCGAAAUAAAGACUUCAGGAAUUUUUGGGAACAUUUUAGGAGAAAGACCUCAAGAAAAGAUACAAACCAAGAUUUGAUUAAUAGACUUCUUGUAUCUAGUUAACCGUUUAUAACAUCUCUUAGAAAACUAAAUUAAGUAACAAUCAAAGUUUGCACAAAUUUCCUAGUGAAGUUCUAGAACUGGUGGGAGAAUCAGCUAUGUAACUUGAUGAUUUUUAAUAUAUAAAUUAGUUUAA